rnacentral:rRNA from 1 species
CCUACGGGAGGCAGCAGUGGGGAAUAUUGCACAAUGGGGGAAACCCUGAUGCAGCGACGCCGCGUGAGUGAAGAAGGAAUUCGUUAUGUAAAGCUCUAUCAGCAGGGAAGAAAAUGACGGUACCUGAGUAAGAAGCCCCGGCUAACGACGUGCCAGCAGCCGCGGUAAUACGUAGGGGGCAAGCGUUAUCCGGAUUUACUGGGUGUAAAGGGAGCGUAGACGGCAGUGCAAGUCUGGAGUGAAAGGCGGGGGCUCAACCCCCGGACUGCUCGGGAAACUGUACGGCUGGAGUGCAGGCGAGGUACGUGGACUUCCUCGUGUCGCGGUGAACUGCGUCGAUCUUAG